AGAGGGAUAGCUGGGUCAAAUGGUGGUUCCAUUCCUAGUUUUCUAAGAAAUCUCCAUACUUCUUUCUAUAUUAGAUGCACCAAUUUACAGUCCCACCAGCAAU
rnacentral:pre_miRNA from 1 species